AUAAGCCUCACAUUUUGAUGUAGGAUGUGUGGGCAUUAAGGUAGUUUCUUUGCUUAGUGUUGUAUACGGAGAUGCAGAGAUUGUUGUCAGUAUCCAGGAUUACACCACUACUGAUAUUGUCUCUUGUAGCUUCUACUGAUUUCCUUUCAAAGGAGGAAGAUUUCUCUUAUCGGGAUUUGUCCCUGGAGAACCACACAUAUCAAGACAGAGAAGAAAGCGAGCUCCACAAAGAAACAGUGAUGUCUUUAGUCAUUACCUGAGCAGGAAGAAAGAAACAUGGCCUAAAGCAAAAUUUCCAAUGUUUAAUCACAGUGAUCCUGAUGUCACAUUGAGGGAUACUCAUGAAGAUAAUUAUAGACUUGAGGAAAGUAUGUGCGUUUGCCCAGACCACCAACAAGGUCCCACAACAUCCCAUGCACAAGUAAGAGAUGAAGCUAUCCUCAAUAUCCUUUGCUCCUCCUUCAUUUCCAAGUGCUUGGGUCAAAAAGGAUGGAGACCUUGGUGGUAGGUCUGUCACUAUGGUCAGUGAGGGAACCCUGGGCUUUGGUGAAGUCAAAUGGAUUGCACAACUAUGAACACAGCAUGAGUGAUUCUGUCCAGGUUUUUUUGUGUGUUGAAACCCUGCUUGGGUAGUGGAAAGUUUGCAGGUAUCCAUGUAGGAGAGGUUGGACUCAGGACCAGGAUGGAUCCCUGGCAAUCAUCCUGGCAUUAGAGAGCUGCAGGAGAUCAAGAAGGCUGUGAACAGAACCUCUUGAAAAUGUCAGGUAUCCUGGGAAAGGCAUGGCUGGUGAUCAAGUCUUGUGUGAUGUCACCUCCUUCAUCCAUGGGGCAACUUCUUUUUUGCAUGAACUUUGCAUAAGGUUCCUUGUGCACUCAUGGCUUUUCCCCACUGUUUGACACGCGUGACAGCAAAGGUGAAAGAAGAGACUCUUCCUGAUAUCAACCAGUAAUCAUGGAUCCUAACAUCAAAGUGAGGAUUACAACAUACUGAUGCAGAUCCCUACCAGACAGUAAGUGUGGGCUUUAGCCCAGGCCACCCACAAGGUUCUGAAACUCCCCAUGCACAAGUAAGUGACAAAGGUGUCCCUCCACUUUCCCAGACCCUCUUUGAUUUCCGGGUGCUCAGGUCAUACAGGUUGGAGACCUGGAUGAAGCUACUGUCAGGAAAUGGACACUUGGCACAUGUGAGGUUAAAUGGAUGCCAAAACUGAGCAUGAGAGAGGAGUGAUUCUGUCU